GGCCGGAUAGCUCAGUCGGUAGAGCAGAGGAUUGAAAAUCCUCGUGUCGGCGGUUCGAUUCCGUCUCCGGCCACCA
rnacentral:tRNA from 1 species